GCCUCUGAUGAUGAUUAUGAUUAUACUUUCGUUCUUCCGAGAUGCUCCGUGCGGAAACAUUUUUUGGAGACCUGAACUGAAGAGGC
rfam:Ricinus communis cultivar Hale ctg_1100012358913, whole genome shotgun sequence.